AAGUCAAUUGUCAAAUCACAAGCAAACUGUUGAGACUGUUGUGAAGUAAAUAUAAUUUUUGAAUUUCUGACUCUAAACGCAAAUAAAACCUAAUUUAACACAAAUUGACGGUUAUACUUAAGGUCUGUUAUAUAACAGAAUAACUUUCAGGAUUAAACUUGUAGAGAAAACCUUAAAAAUAAUCCAAUAUGGAUCAAAUGCUGCCGAGUCCGUACAACAUUCCUGGCAUAGAUACUCCUUUUCAUCAACCAGAGGAGGACCAACAAAUUUUGCCAAAUGCAAUGCAGCAACAGCAACAAAUACAGCAACAACAACAGCAGCAGCAGCAACAUUCUUUGGCUUCUUUGGGUUCCUCGCCACUUGUGGGAUUUGGCGCAUCUUUAUUAGGUACCCCUCAAAGGUCUAUGCAUACUUAUGCUCCAACUGCCAGUUAUGCGACUCCUCAACAGAUGAUGCAACCUCAAACUCCACAAAAUAUGAUGUCACCAUUGAUCACAAGUGGCAGUUUGGCGGGACAACAAAUUCUUGGGCAAGCAAGUCCUGCACCUAUGACACCCAUGACUCCACAUUCAGCUGACCCUGGAAUAUUACCGCAGCUGCAAAAUAUUGUUUCAACAGUAAACCUAAAUUGCAAGUUGGAUUUAAAGAAAAUAGCUCUCCAUGCUCGUAACGCAGAAUAUAACCCAAAGCGAUUUGCUGCUGUUAUUAUGCGAAUUAGAGAGCCCAGGACAACAGCACUUAUAUUUUCAUCAGGAAAAAUGGUCUGCACUGGAGCUAAAAGUGAAGAGGACUCACGAUUAGCAGCUAGAAAAUAUGCUAGAAUUAUCCAAAAACUAGGGUUUACUAUUUCAAGAUCCCAGCACAUCUAAGGUUUGCCGAUGAGCAUCCAAUCACUUCCAACCAAUACCUCCUACAUCAACUCAAUUAGUACCGUUCGAAACGGCAAAAUUUUUAGAUUUUAAGAUACAAAAUAUGGUUGGCAGUUGUGAUGUGAAGUUUCCGAUUCGUCUAGAGGGCUUAGUGUUGACACAUG